UACGUAGGGCGCAAGCGUUGUCCGGAAUUAUUGGGCGUAAAGAGCUCGUAGGCGGCUUGUCACGUCGGGUGUGAAAGACCGGGGCUUAACCCCGGUUCUGCAUUCGAUACGGGCUGGCUAGAGUGUGGUAGGGGAGAUCGGAAUUCCCGGUGUAGUGGUGAAAUGCGUAGAUAUCGGGAGGAACACCAGUGGCGAAGGCGACUUCCUGGCCUGUUCUUGACGCUGAGACGCGAAAGCGUGGGGAGCAAACAGG
rnacentral:rRNA from 1 species